ensembl:lncRNA
GUCCUCUUCUGACUACACACCAUUCACAUACUCUGGUCUGGAACAUCAACAACAGACACAUGCAGAGUGAUACAGAUGGUGAUAGUGUAAUACUAAAUACCAACACUCCUGGAAUGCAGCUUGGUUCACCUAAAAGAAAAGAAGAUAUCAUGGUGGCAGUUGAUGUGAUGACUCUCAGUAGAAGGCCUUCCAUAAAGCACAAGACCUCAGACUCUCUGAAGACGAUGCAACGAGAAUUGAAUCCACAUCCUGGCACUGUUCUUAAGGAGCCGAGUCCUUUGAUAAGAUCCCUUUUCCUCGACUGCAUCUGCAGCUUCUUUUUUUCUACAAAUAAACAUAUUAAACGGAAGAAAAAUGGAAACUUGGAAAAAUGGAGACUUAUAUCAGAAAAGGAACCUUGGAAAGGUUAAAUUUUCGGCUAAAAAAAAGAAAAAAAAAACAUCAGUGCAUGCUGUUGUGAUUACUGGGGCCACACUCAGCAUCUUUAUAGAUAGCUUUUUCCCAACAUUGUAAUUAUCGCAAGCAGGUUUAGACUAUAUCUCCUUUUUUGAGUUCCAUCUUUUCAAGUAAAUUAAUUAACAUAUAACUAAAUAUAUGUCCCAAAACUGGCAAUGAUUUUUCCCCCCUUUUCUUAGCAAUCCCAUAAUCACGUUAUAUAAAUAUAGGUUAGAUUAAAGGGGUCAUAUGAUAGAAUUUCAAGUUUUCCUGUCUCUCUGGAGUGUUACAAGCUGUUCAUGCAUAGAUUAGAUCCACGCAAAGAAAGAAGGCGUAACUUUGAUUCCCGCUGUAGUAUUGUUGCUGCCGCCGCCGCCGCCAUGUCUUGGACACGCUGUGUGUUUCCUUGUGGAAGUGAAAGUUUGGUCUUCCAAAAGAGGACACAACUAGAAAUCAGUGGUUAAGUUGUAUUUACAACACUGUUCCAGAACAGUUCAAACCAAAUAUUCAGAUUUGUGCACCCCAUUUUACGUUGACUGUUUCCUGAACCUGGGAGAGUAGCCUACAAUGCGUCUAAGCACAAAAGUUGUUUAUAUAAAGUGGGGCAAAUUCCAAAUUUGCAAGGACAGUCUGGCGCUUCUGACUCACAGCCUGUUUUUAUAUUUAAAUAAUUUGCCACUAAUGAUUCAAAUGCGAGUUUUAAGCAGUGUAGAGUAAAUAAUGUUAUUUUUAGCAAUUUCAUAUGACCCCUUUAAUUUAUACAAUAAAAGCUUGUAAAUCUAUACAAAUACAGCAAAUCUGAGCAAAACUUUGAAUAGAAAAUUGAUUAGUUCUCUAUAUAAAGGAAAAGAGACAGAUUUCAUUCCUUUAUUUACUUUAACCACUGAGAAUUUAUACAACAUCCACUGGUUCGACCAACACUUUCUUAAUCCCAACUCAACACAUGUGGAUGAUUGGUCAGGACCCCUUUGGAGUCACUUUGUAAUGCUCUGUGAUAUCUUUAGCAUUGUUUUUCGACAUAUAAUGUUGCUUUCAAUCGUUUUCUAUUGUUUUAUAUUGAGAAAUGGUUAGGUUUAGAAGUGAGGGUUGGGUUAAAUGCUCAAAAAUAUCUAAAUAGUGUAAUGGAAAUAAAAUGAUUGUGGCUGUUGAAAAUCAUACCUCAGCAUAUGUCAUAAUGACAAAAUUAUAACCCAAUAUAGGCGUAUAGUUUUAUGACAAUAAAAUGCCAUUAGAAUCUCUGUUUUGAUUACAAAGUUUUCUCAUUGAAAGCAAUGGAACCCUGCACGUUGGAAAAUUACACUGAAGGGGUACCCAGUGUUUUAAAAAGUGGCGCCAAGUGGUCCUGAUCAAGUGUCCAUACUGUACAUGACAAGGUGGAAGUGAGAAUGUGUUGGUUCAGUUGAAUUUAUUAUAGGAUAACAAUAUGGACACCUUCCCUUCUGGAGUGAUUUUUUGUUUUUUGUUUUCCCUUCCUCCUUUCUUCAUGAUACUCUCAUCUUUCUGCACAAAAUAGAGAGAGAGAGGUUUUGACACAGUGUGGCCCUCUAUGACCCUAUGGCUGACCCGUUACCCUGCAUUAGCAGGAUGUGGGUGAUUUUGGACCUCCUGGAGGAAAAUCCUUCAAAAACAAUCUGAAUUCACUCAACUCUGGGACAGUGGCCAAUGCUGAGCUGGUGAAUGAAUUAGCAUCAUUGCCUUUCUGAGUUUAACCAAUGCAGCCCAAUUUUGUAAAGGAUUAGAUUGUAGUAUACACAAGCAUAAAAAAAAAAAAAAAAAAUUGAUUAGAAAAAAAAAACACUUGGCUGGUUCUGCAGAUGUGGUGUGUUUGAAGAUGCAUGAAGUGCACGCAAACACGUAGACAACUUUCUGAGGACCUUCAUCAUCCCCAACACCUUCUUUUUCCUUUUUGUAAAGUGCUUAUCUUUCAAAGACCAACCCAACCAAUCCAUUAGCAUGAGUCCAUACACACCACACAAAUUUACACUUUGACUAAACUGUAAAUGCUUUGGCUGGAACCACAGCUUACUAAAAAGAGUGGAAACAAAGAGUUUUGGUUAUGUAAAUAAUGUAAACUAUUUCCAAUAGCAAUCUGCAUGCUGAUGCAUAGCUGAAAGAGUACUGGAAGAUUGGUCAAAGGCAAAAACUACAUUGUAGAUUUCAUGUAGCCUCUCUUAGCAGCACAUAGGGAAAAUGUGAAGUGCGAUAGUCCAAUUAACCAGUAGCACACAAAAUGGUGUGGGGCAGCUUGCCAAAAGCCAUCUAUUUUUCUGGUGUCACAAGGGAUUUAUACAUCUCAAUGAGUCACUUGCUAGUUUCAGCUAGUUUGCUUUGAGAGUGAAGUAGCUCAGCUCCACACUGGACUUCAGGGAAUCAACAGAUUGGAGGUGUUCUGAAUUACAGCUUUGACCAUUAUCUACAUCACAACAAUAUCUAUGAUUCACACUUGUACCUUACUAUAGCAGACUUGAUCCAGAUGGGAAUUUAAUACUGCCCAAUUUUUGAUUUCUAAAAGAUUCAAAAUCCUUAUUCCUAUGCCAUAAUUCUAUGUUGAUUGCAACAAUAAUUGGUGGCAGAUCAGAUCAUUGCAAGAACACAUACCUUUCUUGUUUGUUUGACAUGAAAAAUACCAUCAAAUCAAUCCAACUUAUUAAUUUUAUUUAUUUAUUAACCAAAUAAUUAUAUAUAUAUAUAUAUAUAUAUAUAUAUAUAUAUAUAUAUAUAUAUAUAUAUAUAUAUAUAUAUAUAUGCCUUUUUAUCUUAUUAUGUUUUAUUAGGUUUAUCUAUAUUAGCUGCAACGCUACGGCAUCAUAAGUAAUGUACUCUUCAAUUGAAUAAUAUAGGCAUUCUGGUAAAAUACCAAGUAGAGCAAAGAUGAUUAAAUAAAUAAAAUAAUAUAUAUAUAUAUAUAUAUAUA